rnacentral:rRNA from 1 species
GAUGAACGCUGGCGGCGUGCUUAACACAUGCAAGUCGAACGGAAAGGCCACAGCUUGCUGUGGUACUCGAGUGGUGAACGGGUGAGUAACACGUGGGUGAUCUGCCCUGUACUUCGGGAUAAGCUUGGGAAACUGGGUCUAAUACCGGAUAGGAAUCACAUGUGGGUGUGUGGUUGGAAAGCUUUUGCGGUAUGGGAUGAGCUCGCGGCCUAUCAGCUUGUUGGUGGGGUAAUGGCCUACCAAGGCGUCGACGGGUAGCCGGCCUGAGAGGGUGUACGGCCACAUUGGGACUGAGAUACGGCCCAGACUCCUACGGGAGGCAGCAGUGGGGAAUAUUGCACAAUGGGCGCAAGCCUGAUGCAGCGACGCCGCGUGGGGGAUGACGGCCUUCGGGUUGUAAACUCCUUUCGUCAGGGACGAAGCGAAAGUGACGGUACCUGGAUAAGAAGCACCGGCUAACUACGUG